AAGGAGCACACAACAACACCUUCUACGUGACCGUUUGUGUUGCGGUGGGUGUGUGUUCGAGGGUGAAACAUCAGACAGACUCACCGCUUCCACACGUGUGGGAGGGUCGGGGGUUACGGCCGUGCCUGUGAGGGCCGGCGGGUUCAUUGUCACGCUAUCGGGGUUCUGAGGGAACACGCGAGUGUUGUCUCUGACCUUGCUGUUCGAUCAAUCAUGCCGGUGAGGUGUCCUGUGAUGGGAUGCGGAGGUGUGUGCGGUGGAACGGUGUGUGUUGUUUGAGAAGUGCAUAGUGGAUGCGAGCAUCUUUAUUUCAAAUCAACUUUUUGUUGGUCUGUGAUUUAGCAGAAUUUGUAGUGUGUGAUGUCUACAUUCGGUCCUCGCGGUGCGGCCCUGUUGUGGGGUUGUAGUGUGGGGGUUGUUUGUAGGUGUUGUU
rnacentral:misc_RNA from 1 species